GACGAACGCUGGCGGCGUGCUUAACACAUGCAAGUCGAACGAAGAGCGAUGGAAGCUUGCUUCUAUCAAUCUUAGUGGCGAACGGGUGAGUAACGCGUAAUCAACCUGCCCUUCAGAGGGGGACAACAGUUGGAAACGACUGCUAAUACCGCAUACGAUCUGACCUCGGCAUCGAGGAUAGAUGAAAGGUGGCCUCUACAUGUAAGCUAUCACUGAAGGAGGGGAUUGCGUCUGAUUAGCUAGUUGGAGGGGUAACGGCCCACCAAGGCGAUGAUCAGUAGCCGGUCUGAGAGGAUGAACGGCCACAUUGGGACUGAGACACGGCCCAGACUCCUACGGGAGGCAGCAGUGGGGAAUCUUCCGCAAUGGACGAAAGUCUGACGGAGCAACGCCGCGUGAGUGAUGACGGCCUUCGGGUUGUAAAGCUCUGUUAAUCGGGACGAAAGGCCUUUUUGCGAAUAGUGAGAAGGAUUGACGGUACCG
rnacentral:rRNA from 1 species